AUACUACUCCCUCCGUCUGAAAAUAUUUGUUAUCAAAAUAAAUAAACGGGGAUGUAUCUAGACGUAUAUUAGUUCUAGAUACAUUUCUUUUUAUCUAUUUUGAGGACAAGCAUUUUCGAACGGAGGAAGUACUAC
rfam:Triticum aestivum genome assembly, contig: Triticum_aestivum_CS42_TGACv1_scaffold_328560_4BS